ACGGGGCUCCUGCUGAGAGGCCCGGAGCCAGCACCGUCCUUGCUGGCCUGGCCCCACGACACGGUUCCACCCUUGCCAGAGGUACCGCCAUUAGGUAAUGAGCUGACAUUAGGAAAACUGGGUGAAGGAUACACAGGAACCCUCUGUACUGUCUUUGCAACUUUCAUGUGAAUUUAAAACUAGUCCCUAAAAAGAACUUAUUCAAAAAUACAAUUUGGGGGCUUCCCUGGUGUCUCGGUGAUAAAGAAUCCGCCUGACAAUGCAGGAGACACGGGUUUGAUGCCUGAUCUGGGAAGAUCCCACAUGCCAUGGAGCAACUAAGCCUGUAUGCCACAACUAUUGAGCCUGUGUUCUAGAGCCCAGGAACUGCAGCUACUGAGCCUGUGUGCUUCAACUGCCGAAGCCCACACCUCCAAGAGCCCAAGCUCCACAAGAGAAGACACUGCAAUGAGAAGCCUGUGCACCGCAACUGGAGAGCAGCCUCCUCUUGCAGCAACUAGAGAAAAGCCCAAGCUGCCACGAAGACCCAGCACAACCAAAAUUAAAAAAAGAAACAAACAUUGUGGGGCAAUGAGCAGCACCUUGACCGCAACCCUAGCAAACCAUCAGCAGGCCCCACGGAUCUGCCAGGCACCACCUGCCAGAAAGCCCUAGAUAGAUGUACAGUUGUCACAUUUAAUCUUUAUACCAACCGCUGUUGUGUGUGUAUCAAUCGCUCUGUUUAAAUUGGAGUAAACCGAGGCACAGACAGGUGAAGUCACUCACCCACACAGCUCACUCAGGCUUUGGACUCAGGGACUCUGAUGGCAUUGAUGAAGAAUCUGAGGCACAGAGAGGUCGAGUAACCAGCCCCAGGUGACCCAGCAAGGAGGUGGAGGAGCCAGAACUCUAGCCCAGCAGUCUUGGUCCUGAAUCUGCAUCCCUGAGCCCUGCACUGUAGUAGGAGAGGGGACCCCCAACUCCAGAGUCAGCCAACCCUGGGAGAGAUGCCUGGCACUGCCUGGCUGCAUGGCCUGGCACAAGUCCCUGUCUUCUCCGUGAACUGGCUCCCCACUCAGGAUGGAGAUAAGGAAGCCUGCUAUCAGAUGGCUUGAGGAUGAGCUCGGGUGAAGGAUAGGCUCUGGCACACAGUGGCACUUGGGAGGUUGCUCUCCCACAGUGUCCAAUGGGCACUUCCUGUAAAGGGCAGAUGGAAAGGUGUGGCCAGGUGAGGGUGGGCCGGGAACUCCAGGUG
ensembl:lncRNA